rnacentral:misc_RNA from 1 species
ACACCUCAACUCUCAUGGUUCGCCGUGAUGAGCUUGGACUUUGGGGGUCUUGCUGGCAUACCGUCGGCUCCUCUCAAAUGGAUCAGCUUGCCAGUGUUUGGUGGCGUCACGGGUGUGAUAACUAUCUACGCUCGUGGUCUCCCACCAGGUAACCUUCAGCAAUGGAGGUUCGCUGGAGCUCACAAAUGUCUCUCCUCAGCGAAGACAGCUUUUGAAC